GUGCUUGCUUCAGCAGCACAUACACUAAAAUUGGAAUGGGUCAGAGAAGAUGAGCGUGGCCCUGUGCAAGGAUGACAUGCAAAUUCGUGAAGCAUUUCAUAUUUCA